ACCAGACCAAGUUGCUCAUCACACGUCAAGGGAACCCCUGAGAAGUCCUUAUAGCACAUACUAUAGGAAUGUGAUGAUGCAUGCUACUUUCUUCUCAUCAUCAGGACUACCCCUCUGAAUGGUCUCCAGCAAGCAGUUUGCUGUUCUUCCAUGCUUCAACUCCAGGAUCCUAUCUAGCUUGAUGUGUCAUUGAAAACCUUUGAUCAGUGAUAAUCAGACCAGGGCUUGAGACCCACGAGCAACUCUUCAAUAUAUUACCUGCAGCUCCUUGCAGAAAAGGUAAUGUGAAUUACGCAAUAGCUGGACACAUCAAAGCAUUCAGAAAUAUACAUCUCAGCCAUAUCCUGAGGACUAGUUCCCUGUGGAUUUCACUACUGUGGGUUAAGUGUUGUCACCUCGCAGCAGAGUGAGAUAUAAUCACAGGUCAGCCUCAAGCAGCAUGUGAUGUUUGUGGUAUGUGUUUAAAGAAGAAACGCCAUCUUCCCCUAAAAAGGCCCAAUCCUGCAAGAUGUUGAGCUUCCCCACCUUCCAUUGACAUGAACAGAGGCUGAAAGGCAUAUAUAUCAUCUUGCAGUGGUUGACUUGAAAAUAUGCUUAUGAUCACAGGUCUUCCAAUAAGUAACAGUAAUUAUUUGGAAGGGGAAGAAAUGGUGCAAACAGAAAGCAUUGUGUCCUAUGGCCAGCAUCCUUUUCUAGGCCUGAUAGUAACUACAGGAUAAGCAUUUUUCCAACAACUACACCAAGGUUAACUUCUGGAACUGGAGUGAAAGAGGAGAAAUUAAGUCAUCAGUGGGCCCUUUUUCUUGGAAUAGCCCUGAAAGUUUCCAACAGUGGCUGGGCAUUAAGCAGUGGCAAAACCACUGAGUUCACACCAGUAAGGCUUUACAGGACUGGCAUUAGGUAUGGCAAAGACACUUCCAAAGGAGCAGGGCAAUAAAAGUUACUGGCCUUGAUCCUACCAUUGUCCUCAUUUCAGGCAAGAGUACAGUCAUCAGAGGGAAUUUUGCCUGCCUCCGGCCUCGAAGGUCAGCCCCAUUGUGUUUGUACAACAUGCCUAGUUUAAACAUUGACCCACACAUUCUGAAAGCAUUGAACAGAGUUUUCCUGAACAAGAAUCACUGACUUUAAGGGAGUCCCUGAGCAACCCUUUAAGAAUAUACAUGUCAGAGUUGAAGCUCUCGCUUCAUUCUUGACUGUUCCUAGGCAUUGAAGCACACAUGAUAUGCAACAUUUGGCACUCUUCCAACCCCCUAACAGCACUCUGAAUAGACAAAGUAAGAGAUAAGAGUGAGAGGUUUAUUUAACUGUGAAUAUUUGCUGAUGUUAGGCUGUCAAAUAUUAGUUUGAUGGGGUUUUUUUCUCCCUUUAAUUCAUAAGUUUUUAAAAUUGGUGUAUCUUUAAGACAGACCCUUAGACGGACACAAUAUUCUUCCUGUCCUCUUUGUCACCCUUAUUACAUAAUAAGAGUUAUAUAGAGUCUAAUAAAGGCUAUAAUCCACAUAAUAAAGUGGAUUACAACCUUUAUUAGAGCACUUUGCACCACACACAUUUGAGUGCCAAGGGUGCAAGAUCACACUCUGUAGGCUGUGCAGUUCUCAUAAUUUAAUUGACCCUCUUCAUUCUCUCAUACUUCAGUGAGCUUGCCUUAUUCUCUCUGACUGGUUUCUCUGUUUUCUGCAUCAGUGGCAGCAAUCACGAACAUUUAGUAGCUUUCUCUCACACCAGCCUUUGUGCUUUCUUCAACAUUGUGCCAUAUGCCUCCUUAAAACAAAACUGUAUUUUCUUCUCAAAAUUCACAGCCAUUGUGAUGACAGAGAAGUCAGCUGCUGUUAAGGUCAAAUCACAGGCAGAAAUGAUAUUCUGUAUGACAGUUCUCAUGAUUUAUGGUUCUUUUUUCAUAAUGGCUCAGAUCCUAGAAUGACACAAUUAUGUUAGAAUCUUGUAGUUCUUGGGGAUGACAAAGGGGGCAGGGAAAGGGAUAGGGACUAAGUUUCUAGCUCUCGUGGUCACAGAACAUUUGGAAAAUGUGAACUCCAAAGCCAGAAGGUAAAUAAAAGCCCCAACUGUAUUGUU